rnacentral:lncRNA from 1 species
AGUAUGGUGGUUAUAGUUUAUAUGUUAAAUGUUCUUAUUCUUGAACUAUUUGGUUUUAUAAACAGAACUGAAGCUAGGAUAAGGCAAGAGAAUCACCCAGUGGACAGAAUGUAAGGAGAUACUCACUCUUAGGGUCACACAAGUCCCAGCCCCGUUCCUAAACAUAAGGAUCUACUUUCCAGAAGCGACACAGAACAUCUCCAUUCUGGGCCUUUGACAAAAGGUCUUUAUAUAAGCCAUUCAAAAUACUUUGAGGAGAGAGAUACAUAGCAGAUUGGGACAUCCAUCCAAUGUUUCAGCACAUUCCUGAGUUACCACUGUGAUGGAGUGUUCUUGGAAGACUCUCCAGUUUCUUACUUCUCAGGACAUUGGCUGUUUUCCAAAGAAUGUACCUUUGGAGACAGUCAUUAUCACUCCUGGGUUUUGCCAGUUUAAUUUUGCUAUAUUCAGAAAUCACACUAGAAGCACUCUCUGCCUCAACCAGGCUUCUGGGUUGUUCUGCUUUCGGAUAUUGUCGGAUGCAACAGAACAUCGAGUUAAGGAACACUGAGGAGUGCUGAGAUUAGAGAAGUGUUAUCCUAGAGAACAAAGCUAUUAAAUUCUCCAAACCUGAGUUAAAAGAAUACCUAGUACCACACUUAAUUCCUGGUGUGAGCAGAAUUAAACUUAUUUGAUAAUCUUUGACAAGAUCAUAAAUGAGGGAGCAGAAGAGUUAGGGGACUGAUGUUCAUGAAGAGAGGAGAAUGGAGGAAGGUACUCAACUGGUCCCUUUCCCUUGGUCAAAUGGAAUUUGGGAUUAAUGAGCAAAUAAAAACAUUCACGAAGUUUGUUAGUAUCUCCUC